AAGACAAGAUGUCCGCUCAACUGUGAGAAUUAAUUUUGUCAGAGACACUAAGGCCCUGAAGACGGGCCAGGCAGUGCCUCACUUCCAGAGUUACAAGUCACACCUCAACCUAGACAUUGCCUUUCUUCCUGAGUCACAACGUCCUGGUUCCCGGUCCUGUGCAUGAAGAUGGGUGAGAGUUAAAUGAGAAACAAAGCAAAAAUACAAAAG